UACAGAGGUCUCAAGCGUUGUUCGGAUUCAUUGGGCGUAAAGGGUGCGUAGGCGGUGUGGUAAGUUGGAUGUGAAAUCCCGGAGCUUAACUCCGGAACUGCAUUCAAUACUGCCUUGCUAGAGUACUGGAGAGGAGAUUGGAAUUCACGGUGUAGCAGUGAAAUGCGUAGAUAUCGUGAGGAAGACCAGUGGCGAAGGCGAAUCUCUGGACAGUUACUGACGCUGAGGCACGAAGGCUAGGGGAGCAAACGGG
rnacentral:rRNA from 1 species